GGGGUUGUGGCUCAGAAGUAGAGCACUCACUUAGCAUGUGUGAGGCCCUGAGUUCGGUCCUCAGCACCA
rnacentral:tRNA from 1 species